UUACAUUUACCAGUUUUAUUACAUAAAUCUAUUGUUACAAGAGACAGUAUGCAUAGUUAUUACCUGGACCUCAUGGAUAUUAUUAUCCAAUGUAUUAUUGAUCAUUUUAAAGGAGCAUUUUAAUCAAUCACAGGUUCAGACAGAUCAGAGCUGCAUAUUAUGCUGCACAGAGGUUACCAUGGUGAUCAGACUAAGGCAACCUUCUAAGAAUGGGAGAUGGAUAUGACUGUUCACUAGAUGUUUUCUACUGAUCCUUUAUUUAUGGAUCUGGAACCAGUGUCAGAUAGGAGGGAGAGGAAAUACGGCACAUUUCUGCUUUCUGGUGUUUUUUCAUUGGCCCUAAAUGAGCAAAGCUCUUUCCACAUAGACAGACAUAAGGCUUCUCUCCAGUGUGUGUUCGUUGGUGUGUAUUUAGGGUCCAUGAUAGACUGAAACUCUUCCCACACUGAUCACAGCUAUAAGGCUUCUCUCCAGUGUGUGUUCGCUGGUGUCUAUUCAGGUGUCCUGAUAGAGCAAAGCUCUUCCCACAUAGACAGACAUAAGGCUUCUCUCCAGUGUGUGUUACCAGGUGUGUAGUCAGCUCUCCUGACCGAGCAAAGCUC